rnacentral:misc_RNA from 1 species
GAACGCACAUUGCACCCCUUGGUAUUCCAUUGGGCAUGCCUGUUCGAGCGUCAUUUACACCCUCAAGCUCUGCUUGGUGUUGGGCGUCUGUCUCCGCUUCACGCGAGGACUCGCCCCAAAUUCAUUGGCAGCGACAUCGUCGGCUUCUCGCGCAGCACAUCGCGCAUGGGAAGGUCCCCGGCGGGCUCGCGAUCAUCAAGAAAUCACCCAGUUUGACCUCGAAUCAGGUAGGGAUACCCGCUGAACUUAAG